GAUGAACGCUGGCGGCGUGCCUAAUACAUGCAAGUCGAGCGAACGGACGAGAAGCUUGCUUCUCUGAUGUUAGCGGCGGACGGGUGAGUAACACGUGGAUAACCUACCUAUAAGACUGGGAUAACUUCGGGAAACCGGAGCUAAUACCGGAUAAUAUUUUGAACCGCAUGGUUCAAAAGUGAAAGACGGUCUUGCUGUCACUUAUAGAUGGAUCCGCGCUGCAUUAGCUAGUUGGUAAGGUAACGGCUUACCAAGGCAACGAUGCAUAGCCGACCUGAGAGGGUGAUCGGCCACACUGGAACUGAGACACGGUCCAGACUCCUACGGGAGGCAGCCGUAGGGAAUCUUCCGCAAUGGGCGACAGCCUGACGGAGCAACGCCGCGUGAGUGAUGAAGGUCUUCGUAUCGUAAAACUCUGUUAUUAGGGAAGAACAUAUGUGUAAGUAACUGUGCACGUCUGGACGGUACCUAAUCAGAAAGCCACGGCUAACUACGUG
rnacentral:rRNA from 1 species